UGUGUCUUGUGUCACUUGUCUUUUGUGUAUUGUGUGUUGCCUGGAUAUCUCAUGUCUCUUAUCUUAGCCCUGUGAGGGGCCUCUCAGAAACUUUUCCUAGCAUCCGUGAUCUCAGCGUUCCUUGCCCUGGCACCCAUGCCAUAGAUCUUUUGACUGGGGAGCUCACACAGGCAUCAGAAAUGCAUCUCUCUUUAGAAGCAUCCAGUCAAAUGUCUUGUCAUGUCUUGUUCUGAGCUGUACGGACAGCCAUGCUGCGCAAUGAUCCAUUAUAGCAGACUAGGACUUGUAAGGAUGUGAGGUUAGGGAGAGGAUUCUGACUGUAGGAUUCUCGGGCAUCCAUCUUUGCAGUUUUUGGAAUAAAUCAUUCUGUUUGCAUCUUCUUCCUCCAGGGUUCUCUGAGCCUCAUCAGCUCGCCAUCAGCUUCAACUCUUCUUCUUUUGCAUUCUCUCAGUCCUUGCAGCCAUUUUCCUUGCUAAGAGAUUUCCGUUCCUGUUGUGUCCCCAGUGUUUGUCACGUCUUGUCUGUCCUGUGUCACGGGUGUCUGCACACAUUUGUGCUGGAGCUGCUGUUCUGCUGUUCUGCCCUGCUGCAUAUCCUGGUGCAAUAUGAGAAGUCUCAGGGACUUGGAAUUUGUAAUGUGUAGUUGGAUUCUAGAUGGGAUUUGUAGAUGGACACAGGAUACGUGGAGCCAAUAAGUUAUCCUGCAGCCCUUUGACUUUCAUCCUAACUUUCUUUUAGUUGCAGAAGGAUAAAUCCAGGGCAGAGCCCCCCAUUCUGGGUGAGGGGAUUCCCCUGUGAAGGUCAGUCACUGUUUGUCUCUGCAGAGGAAGCAUAAAUUGUGGCUGCUGCAGCUCUGCUCUUUGUCUUUAUUUUUAGGAAGUCAAGGCAGAGAGCAGCUGUCAAGGCUGAGUGGGCAAGAUGGACUGCUUGCCAUCUAUCCUAGCCCAGCAUGCCCAUGCCAGGUGCUGUUGCUGCCCUAGGCAUGCCGGGGAAGAGAGGAGGGCAGGU